rnacentral:rRNA from 1 species
UACGUAGGGUGCGAGCGUUGUCCGGAAUUACUGGGCGUAAAGAGCUCGUAGGUGGUUUGUCGCGUUGUCCGUGAAAACUCACAACUCAAUUGUGGGCGUGCGGGCGAUACGGGCAGACUGGAGUACUGCAGGGGAGACUGGAAUUCCUGGUGUAGCGGUGGAAUGCGCAGAUAUCAGGAGGAACACCGGUGGCGAAGGCAGAUCUCUGGGCCGUAACUGACGCUGAGGAGCGAAAGCGUGGGGAGCGAACAGG